CAGUGAGGAAUAUUGGUCAAUGGACGAGAGUCUGAACCAGCCAAGUAGCGUGAAGGAUGACUGCCCUAUGGGUUGUAAACUUCUUUUAUAUGGGAAUAAAAUGUUCCACGUGUGGGAUUUUGUAUGUACCAUAUGAAUAAGGAUCGGCUAACUCCGUGCCAGCAGCCGCGGUAAUACGGAGGAUCCGAGCGUUAUCCGGAUUUAUUGGGUUUAAAGGGAGCGUAGGUGGAUUGUUAAGUCAGUUGUGAAAGUUUGCGGCUCAACCGUAAAAUUGCAGUUGAAACUGGCAGUCUUGAGUACAGUAGAGGUGGGCGGAAUUCGUGGUGUAGCGGUGAAAUGCUUAGAUAUCACGAAGAACUCCGAUUGCGAAGGCAGCUCACUGGACUGCAACUGACACUGAGGCUCGAAAGUGUGGGUAUCAAACAGGAUUAGAUACCCUGGUAGUCCACACAGUAAACGAUGAAUACUCGCUGUUUGCGAUAUAC
rnacentral:rRNA from 1 species